ACUUGCAGGCUCUCUGGGGGAAGCCCAUGUCUGUAGAUUUCAAUUCUAUGGCCAGUAGCCCAAGUAUUGAACUGAAUUGAAUUCUGCAAAUCUGGGUUUCCCCUUGAGAGUCGUAAAGU
rnacentral:pre_miRNA from 1 species